UACGGGGGGUGCGAGCGUUGUCCGGAAUCACUGGGCGUAAAGCGCGCGCAGGCGGUCCUUUAAGUCUGAUGUGAAAGCCCCACGGCUCAACCGUGGAGGGUCAUUGGAAACUGGGGGGACUUGAGUGCAGGAAGAGGAAAGCGGAAUUCCACGUGUAGCGGUGAAAUGCGUAGAGAUGUGGAGGAACACCAGUGGCGAAGGCGGCUUCUGGUCUGUAACUGACGCUGAGGCGCGAAAGCGUGGGGGAGCAAACAGG
rnacentral:rRNA from 1 species